ensembl:snRNA U6 U6 spliceosomal RNA
UUGCUUACUUCAGCAGCACAUAUACUAAAAUUGGAACAGUGCAGAGAUUAGCAUGGCCCCUGUGCAAGGAUGAUAUGCAAAUUCAUGAAGUGAUCCAUAUGAAA